AUCGACCAGCGGGAACAAAUUUGUGGCCAGCGUGAAGCAGCUGAACAUUGGUGCGGUGCCCAAUCGUGGUGGGAUUCCAAGCAAUCGUCUGCCUAGCCAUGGCCCGCCUGGAAGCUCCGCGCCUGGAAGGGAGUUCCACAAGAAAUGUAGGCUAAAAUGAAAAGAGACAAGAGAGGUGAAAAGUACAAUUGAGAUAACACAUCAUACGAGCUCAGCUAGGCUAGGCUACAACCUUCUGUAGCACGCGUUUGGCAAUGGAAUAGAAAACAACACCCUCAGGAACACGCAUGCAGGAAUCUAACAGGUUUCAAACAAGUCGUGAACUUCCCUUUAAAUGUGGCACCCUCCUUGUGACAUGCAUGUUGUGAUUCAACAUGUCAUGACUUAUCAGUACUCCUGGCUGAAUGAAGCCCAGAGGACAAGCCGAUGAGCUGUCCAGUAGUUGCCUGCCUGCAGUGCAG
rnacentral:lncRNA from 1 species